UCCUGCCGCCGCCGCCUCGGCCUCGGCCGGCCCUGCUCUGCCGGCGCCCGUCGGCCUUGAUCCGGCCUCAGCAGGAGGAGCUCGCCCUUGAGUAGGACUCAAUAUAAGGAGGGGAGCAGCAGCCGCGCCCCGUGCUCCACCGGUGCCCUUCGCCCUCGAUCCGUCCUCGGCAGGAGGAGCUCGAGCCGAGGAGCGCGACCUCGAUCCGGACUCGGCAGGAGGAGGGAAGCAGUAGCCGCGCCAGCCGACGCGCCUCGCCGCAACCUCUGCGAUAUCAGGCGCCAUCUCAUUCCCCAUCUCUUCUGGUUGCAUCUCCCCCCGUGAGUUCCUUCUUCUAAUCCCCUUCCUCUCUCGAUUUGGUCUGCAGGAGAGAGAGAAGAUAAGACGGAGAGAGAAGGAGGAGAGGAGGGAGAGGAAAAGAGGUGCGGUGGCAGGGAAAUCGUCGUCGGAUGCGUCUUAUAUGUGAUGGGUGUGUUCCCAUCAAGUCGAUGGUGGGGUUGAUGUGCCCGUCGAUUCGUGAUCCGCUGGCUGGGCUCAUCUUCUCAAUGGCGGACUGGUGUUCUAUGUUAGUCAGAGCCAUUGUAUGUGGUUGUGCAGUUGCUGAUGUACAGGAGGCGUCCGUGGUAUCAGUUCUUCAUCGUCCAUGCUUAUCUUCUAUAUGCUCUAGCAGCCAGGAACCUCAAAUUAUGUAAAAUUUGGUGCUAAUCAACCGGGUGCAUACCUGCAGCCUUGAGGAGCAGUACUGAGGCAGGAGGUGUCUUCAAGAUAAAGCAGGAUUUAAUUGAUGGAGUCCUGCUGCUAAAGGACUGCUAAAGGACGUGAACAGGAAGUCCUAUCGCUGGAUGUUUAUUGUCCGAAUUGCAAGGAUCUGGGAAUACAUGAGUACAGACCCUAUCGAAUUCUAUAGCUCUAUUCAUUGGCACACCAGUUGAUCAAUUUUGAGCUUUCAUAUCUACUUUGGACACCAGAUGGCACAUCAACAUUAUGUACCUGAAGCGAUCGCUACAGAAGGAAGGCCUAGCACGCGAUAACGGCGCCACGAGGAUUCUCUGUCGUGAGGAGUACCCCGACCCGUAUGAUGGCCACCGGAAGGUCACACACUUCUUUGGCUCGCUUCGACUGGC